rnacentral:sRNA from 1 species
UCUUCGUUUGUAAAUGUAGUAUGUUCGAAGAUUAUCUUUCUGCCAAAUAUCCAUGCUUGCGCGAAAAAGAACUCUACGCGAGAAGAGCGGAAGAAUAUCAUCUAUGGGUUAAAGAAUAUGUAAGUCUACCU